rnacentral:ncRNA from 1 species
AUAGAUUUGACCAUUCAAGGGUCAGGACUAAUUUUGCCUAAAAAGGAGCCA